rnacentral:rRNA from 1 species
CAGUAGCCGCGGGAAUACGUAGGGUGCAAGCGUUAAUCGGAUUUACUGGGCGUAAAGCGUGCGUAGGCGGCUUCUUAAGUCGGAUGUGAAAUCCCUGAGCUUAACUUAGGAAUUGCAUUCGAUACUGGGAAGCUAGAGUAUGGGAGAGGAUGGUAGAAUUCCAGGUGUAGCGGUGAAAUGCGUAGAGAUCUGGAGGAAUACCGAUGGCGAAGGCAGCCAUCUGGCCUAAUACUGACGCUGAGGUACGAAAGCAUGGGGAGCAAACAGGAUUAGAUACCCGUGUAGUCCCUGUCUCUUAUAC